rnacentral:rRNA from 1 species
AGAGUUUGAUCAUGGCUCAGAAUCAACGCUGGCGGCGUGCCUCAGACAUGCAAGUCGAACGCGAAAGCCCCUUCGGGGGCAAGUAGAGUGGCGCACGGGUGAGUAACACGUAGGUAAUCUACCUUUGGAUGGGGAAUAACAACCGGAAACGGUUGCUAAUACCGCAUAAUGCAGCGGCACCUAAUGGUGACAGUUGUUAAAGCGUGGGAUCCGCAAGGACCUCGCGCAGCCGGAUGAGCCGAUGUCGGAUUAGCUAGUUGGCGGGGUAAAGGCCCACCAAGGCGACGAUCCGUAGCUGGUCUGAGAGGAUGAUCAGCCACACUGGGACUGAGACACGGCCCAGACUCCUACGGGAGGCAGCAGUGGGGAAUAUUGGACAAUGGGGGCAACCCUGAUCCAGCAAUGCCGCGUGUGUGAAGAAGGCCUUCGGGUUGUAAAGCACUUUUAUCCGGAACGAAACGCGCAGGGCGAAUAGCUUUGCGAACUGACGGUACCGGAGGAAUAAGCACCGGCUAACUUCGUGCCAGCAGCCGCGGUAAUACGAAGGGUGCAAGCGUUACUCGGAAUUACUGGGCGUAAAGCGUGCGUAGGUGGUUUGUUAAGUCUGUUGUGAAAGCCCCGGGCUCAACCUGGGAAUGGCAAUGGAUACUGGCAAGCUAGAGUGCGGUAGAGGGUAGUGGAAUUCCCGGUGUAGCGGUGAAAUGCGUAGAGAUCGGGAGGAACACCAGUGGCGAAGGCGGCUACCUGGACCAGCACUGACACUGAGGCACGAAAGCGUGGGGAGCAAACAGGAUUAGAUACCCUAGUAGUCC